GACAGAGGAUGCAAGCGUUAUCCGGAAUGAUUGGGCGUGAAGCGUCUGUAGGUGGCUUUUUAAGUCUGCCGUCAAAUCCCAGGGCUCAACCCUGGACAGGCGGUGGAAACUACCAAGCUAGAGUACGGUAGGGGCAGAGGGAAUUUCCGGUGGAGCGGUGAAAUGCGCAGAUAUCAGGAGGAACACCAAUGGCGAAGG
rnacentral:rRNA from 1 species